rnacentral:piRNA from 1 species
UAAUAGCAAGGCAUAGAGGACAGGGC